CAUUCCACAUGCAGUACCAACGUUACGACAUUUACGUAUGCAUUAUAACGUGUAAAUCGCAUGUGGAAUGAAUAAUGUCGAUUGGAUUGUAAUUUUUGAAAAUGUAACUUCUUAUGAUUCUUCCACUGUACUGUUAUUAAUUGUGUUAUUA